rnacentral:pre_miRNA from 1 species
UACAUACUCCCUUCGUCCGAAAAUACUUGUCAUCAAAAUGGACAAAAAAGAUGUAUCUAAAACUAAAAUACAUCUAGAUACAUCUCCUUUUAUUCAUUUUGAUGACAAGUAUUUUCGGACGAAGGAAGUACAAA